rnacentral:lncRNA from 1 species
AUUAUCUAGGCCUACCAUAAUAACCAUUAUAUUACAAGCUUUGAAUUACCACAUAACAUAGCAUUUUAUACUUUUAACCAAUAAGUCAUAUUCUAGUAACAUGUAGAUUCUCACAAGUCAUUCAAAAAUACAUAUAACAUAGCAUUUUACUCAAACUAAGUAAUUGACACAAAUUAUACACAGGGUUCCUAAUACAUGUCAUAUACCAAAACCAAGAAUCAAAGUCUACCAAGGUUCCCGGAUAGUGUGAAUUCUAACGUUGACCCGAUCUUUUAGCCUUCAAAAUGUAAUCUAUAAAAUGAACCAAACACAGGUAAGAUUAACUAAAGCUUAGUAAGUCUAUUUUAUAGUUUAAUAAACUUUUCCGAUUGAACAUAGAAUUAGCCAAUAUUAAACAUAGCGAAUUCCAUUAUACGCAACGUAACUCCCCAAAAUUUUAUAUUUUUUUUGUGAAUUUGUGACACAACUGUGUAUCUGCUUCAUAGUUAAGUGUUCUGGGUGUGUGUGUGAGGUCUCAAGUUCAAGCCUGGACUUGGGCAAAUUUUGGCAUUUUGAUGAUUAAAGCCUUAACUGGAUUCAAUAGGCUUAUUUUUUAUUGUUUUUAAAAUGCUAACAGAAUAGGCUUACUGGUCUGGUGGUUAAGUGGGGAGCAAAGGAGCAGAAGGUCUAGAUUUCAAACUCCUGCUUGUGUAAAUGGGAUUUAUCUUUACUGCUUCUGCCGUAAGUGUUUUAGUUUGACCGAAAUUCUAAGUGUUUGAGGGGUGUGAGGAUGUUGGGGCCAAUUUUUAGGAGGAUAAUGAGAGGAAUUUCUAUAGUUGUGGGAUUGAUGGAAGAAAAUAAGGAGUUUGAAGUGUAGUGGGAAAAUGGACGAUUUGUCGUAGGAUAGGAGGAGAGUUUUGAGGAGUGGAUCAAGGGAAGUGAUCAGUAGUUGUGCCGAAACUGGUUCCAUUCCCAAAAUUCGGCUUUAGCUUUUGUUUCCUCCCAAUUUUCUGUCAACUGUUCUUCUUCUUCUACCGAAUAUUGCUUGUGAAUUUUUGCUACUUCUUUUUAUUUUUUUUUGGCUUUGCACACUUCCCUACCCAUCUUUUUUCUUCUUCUUGUUGUCACCUCAUUUAUGUUCCUGUUGGUUGCUACCAAAUUGUUGAUUCUUAGGUCGAUUCAUUUUCUUUUCGUCCCUUCCCCUUCAUAUUAUCGAUUCCUGUCUCUUUCACUUUGUCAUUCCAUUUUUUUAUCGUUGAUUGUUCUCGUGGUUCGGUCCUCGUCGCUAUUUUGGUAAGUGAAACUUCGACACUUUGAUUUGUGCCUAAUUAAAAUGCUAAUUGGAUGUUAAUAUUGUCUUCACAGCAAGGAAUCAUUUUGAUUGAGGUCUCUCUUCUGUGGUGAUUUAGCAUAUUCGUUUGGGUGUCAAGGUAGAUAUCAUGCGUUUGAGAUGGAAGUAUAUUCGGUUUUGCGAUGUUGUGCUUUCGUGAGUUAAGAAUAACAAUUAAUGUGAAUGAUCAAUUUUAGGAACUACUGAGCUCAGAAGUGUUUGCUGCAAAACCAUAACAGAUGUGCAAACACAACUCUAAAAUCAAAAAUCGACAAAAAACUAGAAAGUCAGGCUGUCGAUGCCACAUGUGCAUGUGGCCGCCCGUAUGGUAGGCGGUGUGAUCGACGAGGCUGGCCGUGUGUGAUACAUGGGCAGCAAAGGCCAUUUUUGAACUGUGUAGGUCACACGGGCAAACAACAUGGGCUUGUGGGCCUAUUUUCACUGUUAGAUUGCUAAUGUUGCACGGGUUGCCUGAGUCUACUGUGGACCUACUAUAGGGUCAGUAAGCAUUACCUAGACCCCUAAUUGACUGAAAUGACUGUAUGACUGAUAUGGAAAAAGUAUGAUGAUGUCCCACUGAUUUGAUACUGUAUGCCCUAAUUACAUUCAUGAUAUUAUGUUAUAGCAUGUCAUAUCUAUAUAUAUUGCAUUGCAUUGGGUUGGGGGUUGAUAUUGUUUGAAGGAAGUGUACUAAAAGGUUCAAACCUAAUUUACUGGCAGCACAGCUGCAAACUACUGCCUAGUACCGUAUUAGGUGCUACUUGGAGUGUAGGGAUGGGUGGGUCGAUUAUAUCCCCACAUGGAGUGUAGGAUUGGACGGAGAUCGUGUGUAGAGGCUGGAUGGGUAGGAUUUUGUGACUGCAUAUCUGUUACUACUAUUGAUACUGUGAGGGGCUGAAGCCCUACGGCAUGACCGUUUUUGUACUGAGAUGGGCUAAGGCCCAAACUGGUCUGAUACUGAUACCGAAAAAGGCUUAAGCCCAGACUGAGAUUAUUUGGCUACUAUCUAUUCAUUUUUAUAGGGAUUACACACUGAGUUUACGUAAACUCACCGCUUCUAUUUAAUCUGUACAGGUAAUCCUCAGAUAUAGUCGGGUUGGUGCAGCGGAGGACUUAGUGGUGGCCGCACGACUUCUUUUACACUAUUUAUUACAUAUUCAUGAUUUUACUUUUAUUUAGAGGUAUGUUGCUAUAAUUAUGACCUUUACGGAUUUUGGUUUAAAUUUGGAUUUAUAAGGUUUUAUGACUUAAAUCUGCUAGUGAUAGGUAAAACUCGGUUUUUCAAAUGAAAUUGAUGUUUUAUCAAAAUACUACGAACACGCAAACUGUUUAGAAGCUUCUACAAUGAAAAACGUUUGGAAAUUGAAUACUAAUUUGCACAUGGUUAAUGUUUUGAAAAUGAACGACAUAAUUUGAAAUUAACAUAAGAUAAUGAAAAAGGAUUAAAUAAAAAAGGGGAUUUCGCAACGACAUACUUUUCAAAAAGCAUUACCAUGAGACAUCGUCAGAUUUGACCAUAACAUUUAGGCCGGAUUUAGGUUGUUACACUCAAUCUAUAGCAGUAAUUAGUAACCAAUUCAGUAGUUCAGUAUACUUACUGGACAUUGCUUGAUUGAACUUUAUAUCCGUAUAUCCAUAGAUUUUUCUCAUUUGAGCUUCAUUCAGUAUAACAGUAGAAAUUGCUCGUUUGAGCUUCAUUCAAUAUAACAGUGGAAUUUGUUCGUUUGAGCUUCAUUUAGUAUAACAAAAGAAUUUGCUCCCUUAAGCUUCAUUCAGUAUAACAGUAGAACUUGUUAUUGGCUCGUUUUAGUUCCAUUCAGUAUACGACAUUAUAUAAAUGUACGAGCUUACAAGACUGAUUUGGAGAAAAUUCCAAAGUACAAGGGGUACUCCGUAUUUUUCUCUUUUCCACGAUUAUCGUGGCAUUCUUAAUCUAAAAUAAUAAUUUCAUUCAAUUAAUUAAAAUAACAAUACAAUUUGAUCUUUUUUAGAAAAUUACCUAAUUACCCCUCAACUUUUCAUUUUUAUUCAAUUCAAUCUCUAGGCCCUAAUCAUGCAAAUUACUCAUUUUUCCUUAACACCCAUGAUAGACCAAUGUUUUAUAGCUUUAUAUCAACCCCUAUUUACAAUAAUUUCACCUCAAGUACAAGCAAUUUAUCAUUUAAUCAAUUUAGUCCCUAAACAUUAAAAUUCAUUAAAAAUCACUUUUCAAAACAAUCUAAUCUAUCAACAAAGCUUCAUUUUUCACCAUAAUCUUUAAGAAAUAACUUCAUUCGUCAAUGGAAACUUUUAUAACAUUUAACAGUUUCACAAAUUGGUUCUAGAUUUAGCUAGAUCAAGCUAAUACGAACUCAAAAACAUAAAAAUUACUAAAAAUGAGCAUAAAUACACUUACCAAAUCAAAGCUUCAAAUAAAAAAAUAUGAAAACCCUAAUAUUUCUCUUCUAUUUUCGUGGAGAAGACAAUGAAAUAGAAUAGAAUUUUCAAUUUUAUUUUCUUUGGUAUAUAUACUUUGGUAAUUUUGUAAAAAAAUAUAACUUUCUUAAUUAAACCUUAAUUAAUCUAGAUUAGGCCUAAUUAAGUCAUCCAUCCAAGUCCAUCAUCAUUAAUUACCACUAAUUUAAUUCCCAUUGGUAAAUUACCCAUUUAGCCCCUUUAAUUUAAUUAUUCAACUUUUUCAAUUUUUACGGUUCAAUCCUUUUUACUCAUUAAACUAUCUAAAUGAUUAAAUUUCUCAACCAAAAUUUAAUAAAACUCUAAAGGCCUCGUAAAUAUCUUAAUUAAAUAAUAUUUACAAAUUAUCACAUCAAAAUUAUGGUCUCGAAACCAUUGUUUCUAACACCACUAAAAAUCAGGCUGUUACACGCCAAUUUAGGGCCUAGUCAGAAUAGUGGUCUCAAGACCACAACUCAGAGUUGAAUAAAUUAUUUUAUAAUUUAUUAGAUGUUAUAUCAUGUUUUUAGGAGUGCAUGAAAAAUUUGGUGAGUUAAUUGUGACGUUUGUGAGCCCGAUUGUGAAUAAGGACUAAAUCGCAUAAAAUGCAAAAGUCUGAUUUUGAUUUCUAAAAGUUCCAAAUAGAUAGAGAACCUACAUUGGGAGUCUUUAAAGGUAAAUUAGGCCCUUUAGGGGGGCAUGGUCGGCGAUAGGAGACAAGAAUGGUCAAAUUUUCAAAAUUUGGUAGGUUAGGUGGCUUAUUUUGACUAAAAUAGAAGAAAUUAAAAGAAAGAUGAUAUCAUCCUUUUUUUUCAUCUUCUUUCUUCACUGAAAAUCAUCCAUUGAAGGGGGUUUGAAAGCUUAAAAAUUUCAGCAACUUUAAGCCUUCACAAGUAAGUGAUUUUCCAACCAUUUGUUGAAUAUUUUUGUACUUUUGAGACCCUUGAAGCAUUAGCUUUCAAAUGAGGGUACUAUUUUGAAAAAUGAUUAAGAGUGUAGGGUUUUUCCAUGAAGGGGUUUGUAAUGUGUGCUGAGUUUUUAUGGAAGAAAAGAAGCCUUGGGUGUAUUAUGAUCAAUUUUUGUGAAAGGUGUUAGCAUGAAAACACCUAAAAGGACUAUAUUGCAUAAGUUGUAAAAUAGAUGUUAAGUAUUUGAAAUAGUGGGAAUUUGGAGUUGCUAUAAGAGUAAAAAGGGUUCAGCUAGGCUUAAGAUGCGAAGAAAUUUGAUAAAAAUUGAUUUUUGGGCUUAGGGGUAAAAUGGUUAUUUUGCAAAAGUUUAGGGGCGAAAUGGUCAUUUUACCCAAUCAUGAAUUGUAGAGUGCCUAGAUUGAUAAAGUGACUAAAUAAGUGCAUUUUUUGUUAUAGAUCAAGAAAUACCGAAUCCAAACCUAGACCGGGGAAAAGCCAAGCAAAGUGACUAAAUCGACUAGUCGCCACAUUUUGUAAUUCGAAGUAAGUUGUAUGUAAAUAAUACAACUGUAUUGAUAAUAUAUGCAUUUGAAUUGCAUUGAAAUUAUUAUAGUAUGAAUUGUUUGAUUAUGGAAAUAAGAGAAUAUGAUGAGAAUAGAGAUAGUAGAAUUCCCGAAUGAACCUUAGGAAAUAAAUCUGAUAUUCAUGCCAUGAUGUUUGGGUCAGACAUGUGUGAUAGCCCUAAAUUGACCCUAGUCGAAAAGUGGUUUCGGGACCGCUAAACCGAGUCACCGAAGUAUUUGAGUAUAAUAUUUAUUGUCUAAAAUAUGUGAAUAUGAGUGUGUGAAACUUUUGAGCUUCGAUUUGGUCAAUUGCAUGUGAAUUUAGUUAAUAGGACUUAUGUGUGACACUUUGAAAUGUGAUGGGUUAAUCUAUAAGGAUCUAUUAGUGCAUGUUAUGAAAAUAAUGGGUUUGCAUGUCGAAUUUCCACCUAUGACAAGUAGUGGCCGGCCAUGCUAUGGGUUAAAAUGUAUUAUAAACAUUUUAUGUUAGUGUUUUAUGUUAGAAAUAAUAAAAUAAAGAACAUGGGUAAUAAAAUAAUAGUGGUUAGUAGGGGAGAAACAAAAAAAUUAGCUAGGUUGCUCCUCCAUUGCCGUGAAUUGAAGGAAGAAGAAGAGGGGAAGUUCGGCCAAGGUGGUUCUUUAGAUUAAGGUAUGUUCAAUGUUGCUUUUAGAGGUUUACACAUCCUUUGGAGGGUUAGCCUACUUCUAUUUAUCUCAUGGAUGAAAUUGGAGUUGUUGGAGAGUUAGGAUUCGGCUAAGAGGCUUCAAAAUUUUAGUUGAUGCCUUGAUACUACUAGCAUGUUAGCUAUAUAGAUGUGUUAAGUUACUUGAAAUGUUAGAUAAAUUUGAACUCCCUACCAAAUUCUUUAGGCAACCCAUGUUAGAAAUUUCGGUAUUGAGAUGUCUAGAUCUUUCGGCCAUUGUAGCUAUGGAGGAAUAAAGUUUUUGUUUCUUGUUAAAUUGGAUGAAUCUUGUUGUAUGAGUGCUUGAACAAACUAGUGCUUGAACAAACUAUGAUUAAAUGGAUGCAUAGAUUCAAAGUGGGAAGAAUUGGCUAUUAUAUUUGAUGCUAAUGCCGAAUAUGAAGAUGAUGAACUUGAAUAAAUAAUAUUCAGCUAGCAUGAUAAGUUAUGAAAUAUUAAGUAGAUGAUAUAAUUGAUUGGUGAAGUGGCUAAUAGGGAUUUUUAAUGAAAUUAUGCCAAGGCCGAAUGUAUCAUGAAGUAAAUAAAAAUGCUAAAUGUGCAUUAUGUGCUUAUAUGUGUAUUCGGCCAGGGAAGUUUGAUAUGAAGCUUUGAUAGGUUUGAGAGAUGGAUGACCGAAUGAGCUAUAGGUUAUGUAUGGAUGAAUUUUAUGCAUAUGUGUGUGUGUGGCAUUAGUAGUUAAUGGCAUUCGGCAUUGUUUAAUUAAAAUUAGAAAUGAAUGCUUGAAAGUUAAAUAGGUCGCUCUAAUGACCAAAUAUGCUAAAAGCUAAUAUAUGGACAAAUGAUACGAAUGAAUUGGUUUUUUGAAAUGUUUAUGGUUGCCGUAUAUAUGUGUUUGAUUGAGAAGUAAAUUUGUUUGAUUUAGCUCAAGAGCUUAGAGGAUCAAAGAUGGAUAAGGGCAAGGAAAAAGUGAUCGAAUAGCCGUUGAAAUCGUUCGACAACAUCCGAGGUAAGUCUUUGAGUAAUGAAAUUUAGCUCACAAUUUAAUAAGGCAAUUAUUUGUCUAUGAGCAUAAUAAUUAACUUGUGACUUGACGAUUCUACUUGAAUUACAUGGUAAAAUAAAUAAGGUAUUUACUUGUAGCCGAAUGGUUAUAGAAAUCUUGUGGAUUAACGAAAAGGGAUUAUGUUAUUUGUGUGGGAUUAAUGAAUCGAUCGAUGUAUGGUUAGUAAACAUGCUGUAAUUGUAUUCGAGUAUCAGGAAUGAUAUCCAGAUGUGAUAUGAUAUAUAUAUGCAUAUACGUGUGAAUGCUAAUCGGGGUCUGAAUCCGAGCUUGGUCUCGAAGGGCUUUUGAGCCAGUGCUAAUAACCGAACUUAGUUUCGAAGGGCUUUUUAGAGCCAGUGUCAUAACCGGACUUAGUUCCGAAGGGCCUUCGAGCCAGUAGUCUAAUCCGAGCUUGGUCUCGAAGGGCUUUUGAGCCGGUGCUAAGAGUCGGACUUUAUUUCGAAGGAUGUUGCACCAGCAUAAUAUUUGAGGGUGAAAACCCGUAAGUGUUCUUACGAGAAAUCAUAUAAUACAUGCUGGAAUAAUUUUAAUCACAUGCGCUACUUACUGUAAGACAACCAGGUAAGUAAUUUACCCUUGUUGAGAAUGUGAAUAUACUUCAAUUAUGACUUUGAAAUUCGAUGGGAAUGCUUAGCACAUUAUUUAAAUCAUCCGAACGUUUAUGAUCUGAUUAUGAUGUAUGAGUUCCGAAUAUGAGAGUUCAAUGUCAUAGUUAUGAAUGUGUGUGCAUAUGCAUGAAAUGGACAGGGACAUUUGAGAUGAGAGCAUUCGGUUGUGGAUUGGAGUUGGCCGGAUAAAUUGGUUUUUGUGAUAUUAAUGAUAAAAGUGAUAUCUCGGUUAUGUUUCUAUUCGGCCAAGGGAUGAACAAAUAAACUUGAUAUUAUUAUGCCAUUCCUUUAAAUGAUUUCAUUGCUUAAAACUUACUAAGCAUCGAAAUGCUUAUUCUCUGCUUUAAUUCUCUGUUUUAUAGAUUUUGCUCUUCAGCUAUCGGACUCGGGAUUGUCAAAGUCGAAGUCGUCCACACUAUCUAAGCCACUUUUUGGUACUCUUUUAGUUCAAUUUUGAAAAACGGCAUGUAUAGGGCUGACCCUUGUUGUUAAUUAAGUACCCUUUUGUAAUGUGUAUUCGUAUAGCCAUGCGAAAAUGGCUCGUAUAUUUCAAAGUAUAACAUUAUGGUCUUGUGAUAUGGUUAUUAAGUGGUGUGGAAAUGUUUGGUAAUGACUAGCCAUUGGAAUGGCCAAUCAUGGUCCUAUUGGUGCUACGUACGUCAUGGCUAAUCGGGAUUACCCUUGAUAAUAAUGUAUGUCAAUUUGCUAGUUGAUUCAUGGAAAACUAUGAAAUAGGUGAAAUCUGCCUUAAAAUAGAUGCUGACAGCAGCAGUGAUGUGAGUUUUAAAAAUCACUAAAAAUAGUAGAAAUGUAAUUAAAUAAUGAAUAAAUUAUGUAAACUAACCUUGAUGAGUCUAUUUUCAUAUGGAAGAAGCGAAACGACCAUAUGAGCCGUAUUUUAUGAGAUGUUUAAGUUUUCGUGAAACAGGGCCAAAACGAUUACUGAAUCCCCUGUUCUGAUUUUGAAAAUUUACCAUAAAUUAACCAGAGACAAUUAGAAGUCAUGAUUCAUAUUUAUAGAUUCCUUUUUGAGUCUAGUUUCAUUAGAAACAAACGGCAUAAGUAUUGAAGCUCUGUACAGGGAGAUAUCUAAGUCGUAAUGCAUGAAGGUCAGAGUAGUCGAACCCUGAAACAGGAGAGACUUUAACUAAUAAAAUGUACUAAUUGGCUAGACCAAAAAUUCUAGAAAAAAAUUUGUAGAUGGACAUAUAAGUCUAGUUUCAGGGAAAAUUUACGGAAUCAGUUUUCAAGUUUUGGAACUCGAGAUAUGAUUUUUAAGGUGACAGUGACGCAGUUAACCAGCUUGUCUGGAAAUUUUAAAAUGCACUGUGUAAGUAAAUGAAUUAAGUCCGUUAGCACCUCGUGUUUGACUCCGGCAAUGGUCUCGAGUACGGGGUGUUACAACAUGUCUGAGACAUGCAUCGGCCAAAUUAUGAGAGCCAGUGUAAGACCAUCUCUGGGAUAUGGCAUCAGCAUUGAGACGAGUGCUAGUGUAAGACCAUCUCUGGGAUAUGGCAUCAGCAUUGAGACGAGUGCUAGUGUAAGACAUGUCUAGCACAUGCAUCGGCCUCGAGAUGUAAGCCAGUGUAAGACAUGUCUGGGACAUGCAUCGGCUACGAGAUGUGUCAGUGUAAGACCAUUUCUGGGACAUGGCAUCGACACAAAUAUGCAAGAGCUUCUGUAAAACCAUGUCUAGGACAUGGCAUCGGCACUUGCACCCAUGUUUGAGGCUAAAAAAGUAUCUGAUAAUGUCCCAAAUGGUUCAACGGUGAAAGUAUGAUUUCAAGUUAACAAGGAAAGUAUAACCGUGUUGUGAGUGGUACAGGUACCUAUAUGAUAUGUAUGAAAUGUGAGCUCAAUAUAUUCUAUAUGAGGUGCAUUGAAUAUUGAUGAGUAAGUUUUGCUUAUGCCACUUGUGUAUUAUGAUGCUUAUUGAUGGAUAAUAAAGUUAUGUUAUAUAUUUAUUUAUGUGAAACUUACUAAGCUUUAUGCUUACUCCCUCUCCUUUUUCAUUUUCUUAUAGUGCCACCUAUCUAGCUUAAGGACCAAAGGAAGUUAGAGAUAUCGAUCACACUAUCAAUUGAAGUUUUUGGUAUAGUUUGAUUUAUAUUUUUGAAUAUGACAUGUAUAGGGCUUAGACUUUACUAAUUUUUGCGUAAUUGAGAACUGGCCAAAUGUGUUGGCUUGGGUUGGAAACCCUUUAUUUUGUAUUAAGCCUUGAAUGAUGGUUAUUAUUCAUUUUGAUUUAUAUACAAAGAUGUUAUUUUCAUGGAUGAGUAAAAUGCAAAAAUGGAAUGUUAUUUAUUGUGGUUGAUUUGGUUGUAUGAGAUAGCCUUAUAUUGGUUUUGGUUGUCAUUGAGCAGGUUGUGUAAAUAAGGGUGGCUAAAAGGCUUGGUAAAUAGCCUUAUACUGUCUACACAGGUAGACACACGGAUGUGUGUCUACGUCGUGUGACACACACGGUUUGCCUUAUGGGCAUGUAGUCCGGCUGUGUGUCCCCUGCACGUAACAAUUUCCAGUCAGUAUUUAUGAUAGUAAACACACGAUCAGAGACACAGCCGUGUGUCUCAGCUGUGUGAGGAGCACAGCCUAGCACAUGGGUGUGUGCCUUGGCCGUGUGACAUUUUGAGGAUGCUGACGUCAGAAACAGAAUGUCCAUAUUUUUGCACAUGGGCUAGGACACAGGCCAGGGACAAGAGCGUCUGCCAGGCCGUGUAAAAACCCCUGUAGGUGUGCAUUUAUAAUUAAUGCUACACGGGCGUGUACCCUGUUCUAGAGCCAAAUUUUCUAUAAAUGGUUUAAGGAUUCGGGUUGAUCCCGAAUAUUUUUUAAUGGUCGAUUUGGGGCUCAUAGGCCCAUAAUAAGAAGUUUAGAGUAGAAAUUGAAAAGUUCUUAAGUGGACCAAGUCUUGAUGACUUGGGAACGUUUAUGUACAUGAGAUCGAAUUAGGUAAUGCCUUGUAUUUCACUUCGGCGUGGGUUACGAGUAUGGGGUGUUACAUUUAGUAGUAUCAGAGCUAUGGUUUAGUCUGUUCUAGGACUAACCUGGCGAGAGUACGAGUCUAGCUAUACAUGCCAUAACUGUAUAUUGAUAGUGUGACGAUUUCUGACGAUUAUAAAUUGUAUUUUCAUAUAGUAAAUGGAUCCUGAUAAAGCUAGGGCAGACGACAUGGAGAGUAACGCGCCGACUCCCGCUGAAGGGACCAUGCCAGUUGAGAGUGAGCCCAUGGCUAUGGGCCAAUACGGAGGGGCUAGAAAAGCCUAUCUCCGAAUGAUGGACGCUUGGUACACGGAGUUCGUUCGUGCGAAUCUGAACACUCCACCUCCCCUAUCUCCUCCGGUUCCUCAGUAUGCCCCUAUAGCUCCGCAAGGCGCGGACUUGAUUAGAAGAGAGAAGCCACUGGUAGACAAGAUUAAAAAGCAAUGGGUUGAGGAAUUCCGGGCUAACUUAGAUGACGACCCAGAGAAAGCAGAGUUUUGGUUAGAGAAUGUCAUCAGGGUAUUUGAUGAACUGUCGUGUACGCCUGAAGAGUGCGUAAAAUGACAGUAUCGCUCUUACGAGAUUCGGCUUACUAAUGGUGGAACACUCUCGUGUCUAUGGUAUCAAGAGAGAGAGUAACUCGGUAAUUCUUCCAGGAAGAGUUUCAAAAGAAGUAUAUUAGCCAGAGGUUUAUAGACCAGAAAAGGAAGGAAUUUCUAGAGUUGAAGUAAGGUUAUAAUAAUAUGACGGAGUAUGAACGUGAAUUUAUGAAACUCAGCAAGUAUACGCGAGAGCGCGUAUCCACAAAAGCUACCAUGUGCAAAAGGUUUGAAGAUGGUUUAAAUGAGGAUAUCUGAGUAUUUGUUAGCAUUUUAGAGCUAAGAGAAUUUGUGGUGCUCGUUGAAAGAGCAUGCAAGGCAAAAGAAUUGGUUAAAGAGGGGAGAAAGGCAGCUAUUGAGUCACAGGAUUCGAGAAAAAGACAAAUAGGGAAAUCGCAUCAGUCCUCAUCUAAGAAAUCUAAAGAAUUCUCUACUCGAUCGAAUGCUUCGGUGGGGUUCACGAAUAGGAUCAAGAACCAGUAGAACAUGGCCUCUAGAGCCUAGGCCACCUCUAACACGAGUGUCGACAGUGCUCGACCAAAUAAGCCAGAAUGUUCGCAAUGUGGUAAACGCCACUGCGACGAGUGCCGAGGUAAAGAAAAAGGGUACUUCAAAUGUGGGUCACUGGACCACUUCAUUCGAGACUGUCCUGAAAUGGAAGAAAGAAAGAGAAAACAAGAAGUGAAUGUGAGUAGUACUCUAUUGAAGAGUAGACCACAAAAGAACUCUUAAAGUGGGGCUACUAGCAGAGGUGCGCCAAGAGAUGCGGCAGUAAGGUCUGAGGGCAGAGUCCCUGCAAGAACUUAUGCUAUUCAUGCCUGUGAAGAGGUAAAGUCUCCUGAUGUGAUCACGGGUACCUUUUCUAUCCAUGAUAUAUCUGUUGUUGCUUUAAUUGACUCAGGGUAUACUUACUCUUAUAUUUGUAUGGAAUUAGUACCUCGUAUGAACAUGAUAAUAGAGUCCAUUGAGUUUGUGGUAAGAGUAUCCAACCCUUUACGUAGACAUAUGCUAGUGGAUCAAGUAUGUAGGAAUUCUCCUUUAACAAUUAGAGAUUAUUGUUUUCCGGCUAACUUGAUGUUAUUGUUGUUUAAUGAAUUCGAUGUAAUCCUUGGGAUGGAUUGGUUGACUUCUCAUAGUGUUGUAGUGGAUUAUGGGAGAAAAGUGAUUAAGUUGAAAUGUGAAAACGGGAAUAUUCUUCGAGUUGGACCAGAUGAGUCGGAUAAUUUGCUUGUAAUAGCAUCGUCUUUGACUGCUGAGAAAUAUUUGAAGAAAGGAUAUGAGGCUUAUCUCACUUUUGUGCUUAAUAUUCAAGUAUCUGAAUUGAAUAUAGAAUCAGUACCAGUGGUUUGUGUGUAACAGCCCAAAAUUGACCCUAGUCGGGAAGUGGUUUCGGGACCACAAAACCGAGUCAUAAAAAUAAUUAAUUUCCAUAUUCUAUGCUUAUUAUGUGUCUACAUGAGUAUGUGGAAGUUUCAUUCUCCAAUUUUGCCAAUUGCAUGAGAAAUUAUUAAAUAGGGAUCGAUAUGAGACAUGGUGAAAAUAUGAUAGGCUAAUUUAAAAUGGUCUAUUAAUGCAUGUUGUGAAAAUGAUGGGUUUGCAUGUCAAAUUACCCAAAAUUUGAGCUAGUGGUUGGCCAUGCUAUGGGUGGAAACAUGUUGGGAACAUGUUGGCCUAGUGAGGUAUGUAGGAAAAAAAUAAAAUAAGGAAUAUGGGUAAUAAAGAAAGGAAAAACAAAAAAAUGAGUGGUUGUUCCCCCCCCCAUUGCCGUGAGCUAAAGAAAGGAAAAGAAAAAUUUUGUUCAUCCUUUUUCAUCCUCUUUUGACCGAAAAUUCUAAGGGAGGAGGAAGGAGUUCUUGCUUCAUGUUUGGUUUGGAAGAGAAUUAGGAGGAAGUUUGGCCAUGCAUGUAACUAGAUUGAGGUAUGUUUGAUAUUAUUCUUUGAGAUUCAUGUAUAUUUUAAGUUGUAAGUUUGAAAUCUACCUAGCCAUGGUUCAAACUUUGUUAAAUGAUGGAGAUGAUAUUCGGCCAUGCAUGUUACAUUCUUGGUUGGUAUUUUGAUGUUUGAUGUUGUGGUGAUGAGUCAUGAAGAUGAGUUAAGAUUCGGCCUAGGUGGAGUUUGUGUUAAUGCCAUUGCAUGCUAAAUAUGAAGCUUGUUAAUGAUGCAUGUGAUGGUGGAUUGAUGAUUCUUGAAUCUCUUUUUUUUUAGCAUUUUUGAGUGAGCACAUAUGUGCAUUGGUUGCUAGAUGGGGAAGAAUCGGCUAGCAAGUUUUGUGCUAAGGCCGAAUAUAAUUUUUGUAGGUUAAUGAGUAAUGCAUGUGCUAAAUUGAUGGAAAGGGAGAGGAUGCUUUACUAGUGUAUAAAUGAUAUAAAGAUUUUAGAAAUUAUUUUUUGGUUAGGUGUAUGUAUGAUUAGGUAUAUUCGGCCAUAUGAGUAAAUAUAUAGAUGAUGUUAAAAUUGAUUAUGUAUAAUGGGCCAUAUAGGGUACACAUUGUGAUAUUAACUUUGAUUCUCUAUAAUUGAUCAAGUGGGUGAUUAGUAAGGGUGAUUGCCGAAUAUACUAACAUACAUAUGCAUGUGUAAUUGGAUUGUAAAUAUUUAGCAAGGCGGUUAAACUAGUUGAUUUAUUGAUUAAGCUCAAGGAGUUAAAGGAGGAGAAUCGAGCAAAGGCAAAGAAAAGAUCAUCGAGUAGCCGAGUUGGAACCAUCUUACCCAACACAAGUAAGUCAUUAAGCAUAUCUUUGGUAUUGAUUAAAGGAUCGUAAUACCUACACCAUUGUAUUUAAUGAGAUGAAAUGUAUACAAAUGAAUAUGUAAGUAGAGAUGAAAUUUGUCGAAUGUAAAAAGGAAGUGAAGCCUAUUGAGUGGCUGGUUUUCGGCACUAAGUGUGCGGGCAAUAAGUGUUCACGGUCAUGAGAUUGGCACUAAGUGUGCGGGUUUAAAUUGUACAGCACUAAGUGUGCGAGUUUAAAGUACAUGGCACUAAGUGUGCGCGGUUGAUUAUUAAGCACUAUGUGUGCGAACCCAAUAUAUAUUUUCUAUAAAUUAUUUACAUUAAGGGUGCGACUUUACCGAGUCGAUUUUGGACAGCGGAAAAGGUAAGUGUGCGAACUUGAAAUGCAUGGCACUAAGUGUGUGAGUUUAAAGUGCAUGGCACUAAGUGUGCGCGGUUGAUUAUUGAGCACUAUGUGUGCGAACCCAAUAUACAUUUUCUAUAAAUUAUUUACAUUAAGGGUGCGACUUUACCGAGUCGAUUUUGGACAGCGGAAAAGGUAAGUGUGCGAACUUGAAAUGCAUGGCACUAAGUGUGUGAGUUUAAAGUACAUGGCACUAAGUGUGCGCGGUUGAUUAUUAAGCACUAUGUGUGCGAACUCAAUAUAUAUUUUCUAUAAAUUAUUUACAUGAAGGGUGCGACUUUACCGAGUCAAUUUUGGACAGCGGAAAAGGUAAGUACCUUGAGUUCAUGGCUAAUAGGCGCUAUGUUUAUAUUUGGAGUUGAGCUUGGUAAGUUUUGAACCUAUGUGACGAUUAUAGUUGAAGUCACGUACAUAAGGUUCAUUGUGGAAUAGGUGAAAGUUCAUUUAAUUGUAUGAUUAUAACGAAAAUAAAAUGAUGUAUGAAAGGCCAAUGUAGGACUUGGUAUGAGAUGGAACCAUAGGGUUUAAGGAACUAUGGUAUAGUUUGGUAUGGAUGGAGUACUUAACCUCAUUUCAUUGUUUCCUGUUGUGAUAAUUUUAUUAAUGGAUGGUUGUGGAAUGCUUAUGGCUUACUGAGUUAUAUACUCAUUCGGUGUUUGCUUGUCACCUAUUCUAGGUUUCUUGGACUCGUCUCUUUUUGCGUGAUCGUGCCGUCGUCGAAGUCAUCACACCGGCUAGCAACCUUUGGUAUUUUCUUCUUAGUUGGUCUAAGAGAACAUUUCGGCAUGUAUAGGCUAAUAUGUUUUGUUGAAAUUUGGUAUGUAAACUUUUAGCCAUGCGAAAAUGGCAUAAUGUUCGGUUGAAUUUGGUUCUAAUGUUGGGUCGUAAGUCUUGGUAAUACGAUUUUUAUGCCAUAUGUCAUGGUUGAUUAUUUUGGUGUUAAAAUUCAUGAUAUGGCAAUAGUGUAGUAGGGGGAUGUUUGACAAUGAUUAGCCUUUGGCAUGGCUAGUCAUGAUCAUAAUUUGUGAUAUGUAUGACGAAUCACUAGUUAGAUCAAGGAGAAAUCACGAAAUGGGCAUAGUCGCUUUCAUAACAGAUGUUGGCAGCAGCAGUGACGUGAGAUUGCAAAAUCACUAAAAAUAGUAGGAGUGGGAUUAAUUGAUGAAUAAAUUAUGUAUUCGAAGCUCGAUGAGUCUAUUUUCAUAUAGAAGCAACGAAAAGAUCAUAUGGACAAUAUGUUAAGAGAUAUUCAGGUUCUCGUGAGACAGGGCCAGAACGGUUUCUGGAUUCCCUGUUCCGACUUUGGAAAUUCAUUAUAAAUUAACCAGAGACAAUUAGGAGUCAUACAAUAUAUGGAUAGAUUCCUCUCUGAGUCUAGUUUCUAUAGAAACAAACGGCAUCAGUAUUGAAGCUCUGUGCAGGGAGAUAUCCAGGUCGUAAUGCGCAAAGGUCAGUGUAGUCGAUCCCUGUAACAUGGGAGACUUUGACUAAUAAACUGUACUAAUUGGCCUGACCAAAAAUUAUAGAAAAAAAUAUGUAGAUGGGCAUAUGAGUCUAGUUUCAGGGAAAAAUCACGAAACUGAUUUUCGAGUUGUGAAACUCAAGAUAUGAUUUUUAAAGCGACUAGUACGCAGAUUGGCAGUGUCUGAGAAAUAUUUUUAUAAAGGGUUUAAAGUCUGCUAACACCUCGUGUUCGACUCCGGUGUCGGUCUCGGGUUCGGGGUGUUACAUUUGAUUGGUAUCAGAGCUAUGGUUUAGUCGGUUCUAGGACUACCAUAGCACGUAUGAGUCUAGCUAUACAUGCCGAAUGUUAAUGUUUAACUGUGUGAUGACUUCUGACGGUUAAAAUUUAUGUUUUGAUUAGUAAAUGGAUCCCGGUGUAGAGAGAACCUUGGCGGAUGACAUUGAAAGUGUAGCGGCUGCUCCUACACAAGGGACACUGCCUGUUGAACCUCAGUUAUCUGCGAAUAAUCAAGGUGAGGGGGCUAAACAAGCCUUCUUUACCAUGAUGAAUGAGUGGGUCGCGCAGUAUGCCCGAACCAAUCCGGCUGUCCAACAAUUCCCGAAUUUGAAUAAUCCACCCCCGGAGCCAGUAAUGCCAUCAGUUACUGAUCCUGUGAGGCUGAGUAAGCCACCUGUAGACUUGAUUAGGAAGCACGGGGCUGAGGAGUUCAGGGCCAUAGUUACUGAUGAUGCUGAAAGGGCCGAGUUCUGGCUUGAUAAUACCAUUCGGGUGUUUGAUGAACUGUCAUGCACACUCGAUGAAUGUCUAAAGUGUGCUAUAUCCUUGUUGCGGGACUCAGCCUACUAUUGGUGGAGGACCCUGAUUUCCAUAGUCCCAAACGAACGAGUAACUUGGGACUUCUUUCAGACGGAAUUUCGAAAGAAAUAUAUUAGUCAACGGUUCAUUGAUCAAAAGCGUAAGGAAUUCUUGGAACUCAAGCAAGGCCGUAUGACAGUAUCUGAAUAUGAACAUGAAUUCGUAAGACUCAGUAGGUAUGCCCGGGAGUGUGUAGCUGAUGAGGUUGCUAUGUGCAAAAGAUUCGAAGAAGGAUUGAAUGAAGAUUUAAAGCUACUAAUGGGUAUUUUGGAAAUAAAAGAAUUCGUAACACUAGUCGAACGAGCUUGCAAGGCGGAAGAACUUGGAAAGGAGAAGAAGAAGGCUGAAUUUGAAGCUAGAGACUACCGUAAAAGAUCGACGGGUAAAGCUCCGUUCUCAGCCGUAAAGAAGUUCAGGGAGGACACUAAUAAGUCGAGGACGACUGCGGGAAUUUCCAUCAGAGCAAGACCAUCGACGGACUCCCGAGCUACUUCGGUAGCUAGUGUGGGCAAUAAUCGUCUAGAGAAACCUGAAUGUCCCCAAUGUGGAAGACGACACAUAGGUGAAUGUUGGGGUAAGUCUAUUAACAGGGCCUGUUACGGAUGCGGUUCGAAGGACCACUUCAUUAGAGAUUGCACAGAGCUUGAUGAGAAGAAUAAGAUUCAAGGUGCAAGACCUAGUGGAGUGACAACUAGAGGUAGACCACCGAGAAUUUUAGGAGGUAGGGGUGGUAGUCAGAGAGGGGCCUCUGAUACGGCUGUUCGAGCCGAGAACCGCACUCCUGCUAGAGCAUAUGCCAUCCGCGCACGAGAGGAGGCAUCCUCCCCUGACGUCAUCACUGGUACCUUCACUCUCUUUGAUACUAAUGUGAUUGCAUUGAUUGACCCUGGCUCUACUCAUUCAUAUGUAUGUGAAACCUUAGCAUCCAGUAAGACUCUACCUGUUGAGUCUACUGAGUUCGUAAUUCGGGUGUCAAAUCCCUUGGGUCGUUACGUGCUUGUCGACAAAGUGUGUAAGAGAUGUCCCCUAGUAAUUUGAGGUUCUUGUUUUCCGGCGGACUUGAUGCUUUUGCCGUUUGAUGAAUUUGAUGUUAUUCUUGGUUUGGAUUGGCUGACCGCGCAUGAUGCGGUUGUGAAUUGCAAAAGCAAGACUAUUGAUUUGAGGUGCGCAAAUAACGAGGUAAUCCGAGUUGAGUCUACGGAUUUGAAGGGGUUGCCAGCUGUAAUAUCAGCAAUGUUGGCCCAGAAAUAUGUAAGAAAAGGGUGCGAAGCAUACCUUGCGUAUGUACUUGAUGAUAAAGAAUUAGAAAAGAAACCCGAAUCUGUGCGGGUGGUUUGUGAAUACCCGGAUGUUUUUCCUGAAGAAUUACCGGGUUUACCACCUGUUCGGGAGGUAGAGUUUGGUAUUGAGCUUGUACCUGGGACUACGCCGAUUUCGAUAGCUCCGUAUCGUAUGGCACCAACCGAGUUAAAAGAGUUAAAAUCUCAGUUGCAAGAAUUGACGGAUAGAGGUUUUGCUCGACCAAGUUUCUCACCUUGGGGUGCACCAGUAUUGUUCGUGAAAAAGAAGGACGGAACCAUGAGGUUGUGCAUUGACUAUCGUCAACUGAAUAAAGUGACAAUAAAGAACAAAUAUCCGUUGCCGCGCAUCGAUGAUUUGUUCGACCAACUGAAGGGAGCCUCAGUGUUCUCAAAAAUAGAUUAGAGAUCGGGCUAUUAUCAGUUGCGAAUUCGAGAUUCAGACAUACCCAAAACUGCUUUCAGAACGAGGUACGGUCACUACGAGUUCUUAGUGAUGCCGUUUGGGCUCACUAAUGCCCCUGCAGUAUUUAUGGAUUUGAUGAAUCGGAUCUUUAGACCAUAUUUGGAUCGGUUCGUAGUUGUGUUCAUUGAUGACAUCUUGGUCUAUUCAAGAGAUGAGAUCGAACAUGCUGAACACUUGAGAUUAGUGUUGCAAGUUUUGCGGGAUAAGAAGUUAUAUGCUAAGUUCAGUAAGUGUGAGUUCUGGUUAAGAGAGGUUAGCUUCUUGGGUCAUGUGGUAUCCGCAUCGGGUAUUCGAGUUGACCCGAACAAAAUCUCAGCCAUACUUAACUGGAAACCUCUGAGAAAUAUUACUGAGGUCCGGAGCUUUUUGGGACUCGCCGGUUAUUACCGACGAUUUGUCAAAUGUUUCUCGAUGAUAGCCACACCAAUGACGAAGCUACUUCAAAAGGAUGCUAAGUUCGAAUGGACGGAGAAAUGUCAGAAAGGCUUCGAUCAACUGAAAACUCAUUUGACUGAAGCUCUAAUUUUAGUGCAACCCGAAUCAAGCAAAGAGUUUGUCAUUUAUAGUGACGCAUCCCUACUCGGGUUGGGUUGCGUAUUGAUGCAAGAAGGUCGAGUUGUGGCCUAUGCGUCGAGACAAUUGAAGCCACACGAGAGAAAUUAUCCAACCCAUGAUCUCGAGCUAGCCGCCAUCGUAUUUGCUUUGAAAAUAUGGCGACAUUAUUUGUUUGGCGAAAAGUGCCAUGUAUUUUCGGAUCACAAAAGUCUCAAAUAUUUGAUGACUCAAAGAGACUUAAAUCUGCGACAAAGACGUUGGCUUGAGUUGUUGAAAGAUUACGAGCUUGUCAUUGAUUACCACCCGGGAAAGGCUAAUGUGGUUGCGGACGCCUUAAGCCGGAAAUCUCUGUUUGCUUUACGAGCGAUGAAUGUGCACUUGUCUGUUCUACCCGACAAUGUGUUAGUAGCUGAAUUAAAGGCCAAACCAUCAUUGAUUCAUCAAAUUCGUGAAGCUCAGAAAGUCGACGAUGAAUUGGUUGCAAAACGGGCUGAAUGUAUUCCGAAUAUGGAAUCCGAAUUUCAAAUUGAUGAGGACGAUUGUUUGAGGUUCAGAAGUCGUUUGUGUGUUCCAAGUAAUUCGGAACUCAUUUCGAUGAUUCUGAACGAAGCCCAUUGUAGCCGAAUGUCAAUUCACCCGGGGAGUACGAAAAUGUACAACGAUUUGAAACGUCGAUUUUGGUGGCAUGGUAUGAAACGGGACAUCUCCGACUUUGUUUCGAGAUGUUUAAUAUGUCAACAAGUGAAAGCGGAACAUCAAGUGCCUUCAGGAUUACUUCAGCCGAUCAUGAUACCCGAGUGGAAAUGGGAUCGAGUCACAAUGGACUUUGUGUCCGGACUACCAUUGUCAACAAGUAAGAAGGAUGCGAUUUGGGUUGUUGUUGAUAGACUGACUAAGUCGGCUCACUUUAUCCCCGUGCGUACGGAUUUUUCAUUGGAUAAACUAGCCGAAUUGUAUGUUUCUCAGAUUGUGAGAUUACAUGGAGUACCUAUUUCUAUCGUGUCGGAUAGAGAUCCGAGAUUCACCUCGCGAUUUUGGAAGAAAUUGCAAGAAGCUUUGGGUACCAAGCUGCAUUUUAGCACCGCUUUUCAUCCCCAAACCGAUGGUCAAUCCGAGCGGAUAAUUCAGAUACUCGAGGAUAUGCUGAGAUGCUGCAUCCUUGAGUUUAGUGGUUCAUGGGAACGGUAUGUACCUUUGAUUGAAUUCGCUUACAACAAUAGUUUUCAAUCAAGUAUUAAGAUGGCACCUUACGAGGCUUUGUACGGUCGUAAAUGCCGUACACCAUUGUUUUGGACCGAGCUCGGUGAAAGUAAAAUUUUCGGAGUUGAUUUGAUUAAAGAUGCCGAACAGAAAGUAAAGGUAAUCCGUGAAAGUCUGAAGGCAGCCACAGAUCGUCAGAAAUCGUAUGCGGACUUGAAACGAAAGGACAUUGAAUAUCAGGUGGGAGAUAAAGUGUUCCUUAAAGUUUCGCCUUGGAAAAAGGUACUCAGGUUUGGCCGUAAGGGCAAGUUGAGCCCGAGAUUCAUUGGGCCAUACGAGAUCUCCGAACGAGUUGGUCCGGUUGCGUAUAGAUUGAUUUUGCCCCCUGAGCUUGAAAAGAUUCAAGACGUCUUUCAUGUUUCGAUGCUUCGACGCUAUCGAUCUGAUCCAUCGCAUAUAAUUAGCCCAUCAGAGGUUGAAAUUCAAGCCGAUAUGAGUUAUGAAGAAGAACCGAUACGUAUCCUAGCUCGUGAAGUGAAGGAGUUGCGAAACAAAAGUGUUCCGUUAGUGAAGGUGUUAUGGCUCAAACAUGGGAUCGAGGAAGCUACUUGGGAAACCGAGAGCUCGAUGAAAGAACGAUACCCAAACCUAUUUACCGGUAAGAUUUUCGGGGACGAAAAUUUCUUAAGUGGGGGAGAGUUGUAACAGCCCAAAAUUGACCCUAGUCGGGAAGUGGUUUCGAGACCACAAAACCGAGUCAUAAAAAUAAUUAAUUUCCAUAUUCUAUGCUUAUUAUGUGUGUACAUGAGUAUGUGGAAGUUUCAUUCUCCAAUUUUGCCAAUUGCAUGAGAAAUUAUUAAAUAGGGAUCGAUAUGAGACAUGGUGAAAAUAUGAUAGGCUAAUUUAAAAUGGUCUAUUAAUGCAUGUUGUGAAAAUGAUGGGUUCGCAUGUCAAAUUACCCAAAAUUUGAGCUAGUGGUUGGCCAUGCUAUGGGUGGAAACAUGUUGGGAACAUGUUGGCCUAGUGAGGUAUGUAGGAAAAAAAUAAAAUAAGGAAUAUGGGUAAUAAAGAAAGGAAAAACAAAAAAAUGAGUGGUUGUUUCCCCCCCCCAUUGCCGUGAGCUAAAGAAAGGAAAAGAAAAAUUUUGUUCAUCCUUUUUCAUCCUCUUUUGACUGAAAAUUCUAAGGGAGGAGGAAGGAGUUCUUGCUUCAUGUUUGGUUUGGAAGAGAAUUAGGAGGAAGUUUGGCCAUGCAUGUAACUAGAUUGAGGUAUGUUUGAUAUUAUUCUUUGAGAUUCAUGUAUAUUUUAAGUUGUAAGUUUGAAAUCUACCUAGCCAUGGUUCAAACUUUGUUAAAUGAUGGAGAUGAUAUUCGGCCAUGCAUGUUACAUUCUUGGUUGGUAUUUUGAUGUUUGAUGUUGUGGUGAUGAGGCAUGAAGAUGAGUUAAGAUUCGGCCUAGGUGGAGUUUGUGUUAAUGCCAUUGCAUGCUAAAUAUGAAGCUUGUUAAUGAUGCAUGUGAUGGUGGAUUGAUGAUUCUUGAAUCUCUUUUUUUUUAGCAUUUUUGAGUGAGCACAUAUGUGCAUUGGUUGCUAGAUGGGGAAGAAUUGGCUAGCAAGUUGUGUGCUAAGGCCGAAUAUAAUUUUUGUAGGUUAAUGAGUAAUGCAUGUGCUAAAUUGAUGGAAAGGGAGAGGAUGCUUUACUAGUGUAUAAAUGAUAUAAAGAUUUUAGAAAUUAUUUUUUGGUUAGGUGUAUGUAUGAUUAGGUAUAUUCGGCCAUAUGAGUAAAUAUAUAGAUGAUGUUAAAAUUGAUUAUGUAUAAUGGGCCAUAUAGGGUACACAUUGUGAUAUUAACUUUGAUUCUCUAUAAUUGAUCAAGUGGGUGAUUAGUAAGGGUGAUUGCCGAAUAUACUAACAUACAUAUGCAUGUGUAAUUGGAUUGUAAAUAUUUAGCAAGGCGGUUAAACUAGUUGAUUUAUUGAUUAAGCUCAAGGAGUUAAAGGAGGAGAAUCGAGCAAAGGCAAAGAAAAGAUCAUCGAGUAGCCGAGUUGGAACCAUCUUACCCAACACAAGUAAGUCAUUAAGCAUAUCUUUGGUAUUGAUUAAAGGAUCGUAAUACCUACACCAUUGUGUUUAAUGAGAUGAAAUGUAUACAAAUGAAUAUGUAAGUAGAGAUGAAAUUUGUCGAAUGUAAAAAGGAAGUGAAGCCUAUUGAGUGGCUGGUUUUCGGCACUAAGUGUGCGGGCAAUAAGUGUUCACGGUCAUGAGAUUGGCACUAAGUGUGCGGGUUUAAAUUGUACAGCACUAAGUGUGCGAGUUUAAAGUACAUGGCACUAAGUGUGCGCGGUUGAUUAUUAAGCACUAUGUGUGCGAACCCAAUAUAUAUUUUCUAUAAAUUAUUUACAUUAAGGGUGCGACUUUACCGAGUCGAUUUUGGACAGCGGAAAAGGUAAGUGUGCGAACUUGAAAUGCAUGGCACUAAGUGUGUGAGUUUAAAGUGCAUGGCACUAAGUGUGCGCGGUUGAUUAUUGAGCACUAUGUGUGCGAACCCAAUAUAUAUUUUCUAUAAAUUAUUUACAUUAAGGGUGCGACUUUACCGAGUCGAUUUUGGACAGCGGAAAAGGUAAGUGUGCGAACUUGAAAUGCAUGGCACUAAGUGUGUGAGUUUAAAGUACAUGGCACUAAGUGUGCGCGGUUGAUUAUUAAGCACUAUGUGUGCGAACUCAAUAUAUAUUUUCUAUAAAUUAUUUACAUGAAGGGUGCGACUUUACCGAGUCAAUUUUGGACAGCGGAAAAGGUAAGUACCUUGAGUUCAUGGCUAAUAGGCGCUAUGUUUAUAUUUGGAGUUGAGCUUGGUAAGUUUUGAACCUAUGUGACGAUUAUAGUUGAAGUCACGUACAUAAGGUUCAUUGUGGAAUAGGUGAAAGUUCGUUUAAUUGUAUGAUUAUAACGAAAAUAAAAUGAUGUAUGAAAGGCCAAUGUAGGACUUGGUAUGAGAUUGAACCAUAGGGUUUAAGGAACUAUGGUAUAGUUUGGUAUGGAUGGAGUACUUAACCUCAUUUCAUUGUUUCCUGUUGUGAUAAUUUUAUUAAUGGAUGGUUGUGGAAUGCUUAUGGCUUACUGAGUUAUAUACUCAUUCGGUGUUUGCUUGUCACCUAUUCUAGGUUUCUUGGACUCGUCUCUUUUUGCGUGAUCGUGCCGUCGUCGAAGUCAUCACACCGGCUAGCAACCUUUGGUAUUUUCUUCUUAGUUGGUCUAAGAGAACAUUUCGGCAUGUAUAGGCUAAUAUGUUUUGUUGAAAUUUGGUAUGUAAACUUUUAGCCAUGCGAAAAUGGCAUAAUGUUCGGUUGAAUUUGGUUCUAAUGUUGGGUCGUAAGUCUUGGUAAUACGAUUUUUAUGCCAUAUGUCAUGGUUGAUUAUUUUGGUGUUAAAAUUCAUGAUAUGGCAAUAGUGUAGUAGGGGGAUGUUUGACAAUGAUUAGCCUUUGGCAUGGCUAGUCAUGAUCAUAAUUUGUGAUAUGUAUGACGAAUCACUAGUUAGAUCAAGGAGAAAUCACGAAAUGGGCAUAGUCGCUUUCAUAACAGAUGCUGGCAGCAGCAGUGACGUGAGAUUGAAAAAUCACUAAAAAUAGUAGGAGUGGGAUUAAUUGAUGAAUAAAUUAUGUAUUCGAAGCUCGAUGAGUCUAUUUUCAUAUAGAAGCAACGAAAAGAUCAUAUGGACAGUAUGUUAAGAGAUAUUCAGGUUCUCGUGAGACAGGGCCAGAACGGUUUCUGGAUUCCCUGUUCCGAAUUUGGAAAUUAAUUAUAAAUUAACCAGAGACAAUUAGGAGUCAUACCAUAUAUGGAUAGAUUCCUCUCUGAGUCUAGUUUCUAUAGAAACAAACGGCAUCAGUAUUGAAGCUCUGUGCAGGGAGAUAUCCAGGUCGUAAUGCGCAAAGGUCAGUGUAGUCGAUCCCUGUAACAUGGGAGACUUUGACUAAUAAACUGUACUAAUUGGCCCAACCAAAAAUUCUAGAAAAAAAUAUGUAGAUGGGCAUAUGAGUCUAGUUUCAGGGAAAAAUCACAAAACUGAUUUUCGAGUUGUGAAACUCAAGAUAUGAUUUUUAAAGCGACUAGUACGCAGAUUGGCAGUGUCUGAGAAAUAUUUUUAUAAAGGGUUUAAAGUCUGCUAACACCUCGUGUUCGACUCCGGUGUCGGUCUCGGGUUCGGGGUGUUACAUUGUGAGUUUACAGACGUGUUUCCGGAGGAAUUACCUAGAUUACCUUCAGUGAGGGAAGUUGAGUUUGGAAUCAAGUUGGUCCCUAGUAUGGCACCCAUCUUGAUUGCUCCGUAUAAGAUGGCUCCUACAGAGUUAAAAGAGUUGAAAACUCAACUACAAAAGUUAACUGACAAGGGCUUUGCGAGACCAACCUUUUCUACGUAAGGUGCUCCGAUGCUCUUUGUGAAAAAGAAAGAUGGGUUGAUGAGGUUAUGUAUCGACUAUAGACAGCUCAAUAAGGUAACGGUGAAAAACAAGUAUCCUUUGCUGAGGAUUGAUGACAUGUUUGAUGAGUUAAAGGGAGCCACAGUAUUUUCCAAGAUUAACCUGAGGUCAGAAUACUACCAGUUAAGGGUAAAAGAGCAAGAUGUAUCAAAGACUGCGUUUCGGAAAAUAUAUGGGCAUUAUGAGUUCCUUGUCAUGCCCUUUGGUUUGACUAAUGCCUCGACAGUGUUUAUGGAUUUGAUGAAUCGCAUUUUUCGGCUGUAUCUGGAUAAGUUCGUGGUAGUCUUUAUCGACGAUAUAUUGAUUUACUCGCGUGAUGAGAGUGAGCACGCGAAGCAUUUGAGGACUGUAUUACAGAUUCUGAGAGACAAACAGUUGUACGCCAAGUUCAAUAAGAGCAAAUUCUGGCUUAAGGAGGUUGGAUUUCUAAGACACAUUGUGUUGGGUGAUGGGAUUAGAGUAGAUCUAAGUAAAGUCUCGGCUAUUGUUGAAUGGAAACCGCCGAAGAAUGUGUGACAGCCCUAAUUUGGCCCUAGUCGGAAAGUGGUUUCAGGAUCAUAAAACCGAGUCCCAAAAAUAAUCAAAUGUUAUAUUAUGUGUUUAUUUCAUGUGAAAGUGCAUGUGUGAAAAUCCCAUGCUUUGAUUCUGCCAUUUGUGAGUGAAAUUAUGAAAUAGGACCUAUGUGAAAAUUUUUGAAAAUGCUAUAGGCUAAUAUGUAGUGGCCUAAUAAAUAGUAGUGCAAAAUAGGAUGAUUUGCAUGUCAAACUCCCCAUUUUAUGUGUAGUGACCGGCCAUGGUGUUAAUGGUAGACAACAUGUGCAAAUUUUUUUAUUGAAGUUAUGGCAUAAGUAUGGCACAAAUAAUAUUUGUUAUUUUGUGUCAUAAAAUGUUUAGUAAUAGAAUAACAAAAAGGAAGAAAAGGAAGGUUUUUGUUCAUUCUUGUUCAUGAAAGCUAAAAAUAGAAGAGAAAGGAGAGGAAAAGAGCUCUUGAAUGUUCGGUCACUUGGGGAAGAAAAAUCUAAGGUAAGUUCAUGGUAGUUUGCUUCUAUCUUGAUGUUCAUGAGUUCUUCUUGAUUUUACCCUAACUCAUGAAGCAUAUUCUGAUUUUUGGUUGUGUUGUGAGCAUUCGGUCAUGAAUUAAAAUGAAGGAAAUGGUUGUUGUUUCAUGUCCUUUUGAUGAAAAAUGGAAGAUAGGUCCAAGCAAAUGAGCAUGCAUGUGCCUUAGAUGCUAAGGGAAAAAUCGGCUAACAUGUUGUGCUUUAAAAUGAUGAAAUGAAGAUUAUGCUUAAGUAAAAUUAUAGAUAUGUGAUGAUUGAUUGGUGAUAUGCAUGUUUAAAUAACAUGCAUGCAAGGUAUGUGUGAAAGAGUGAUUUGGUAAUAAAUCUGUUUGGGACAGCAACAGUAAUGUGAUUUUGGAAAAUCACCAUAAAUUGUGGGAGAUGAGUUAGAAUCUGAAUAAAUUAUGUAAUUAAAGCUUAAUGAGUCUAGUUUCUUAUAAAAGAAACCGUGUAAGCAAAAGAAUUUUCGAUAAUAAGAUAUUUGAAGUGAUGUGGGACAGGGUCAGAAUGACUUCUAGAUCCUCUGUUCUGUUUUUAUAAAAUCAUUAUAAAUUGUACAAAAAUUUUCAUAAGAUGAAAUUUAUAUUCUUAGACUCCUUAAUGAGUCUAGUUUCAAAUGAAAUAAACGAGAACAUAUUUUGAGUUCUGUACAAUGAGAAAUUUGAUUCGUAGUGAGGAGUGGUCAGAUUAGUCAAACAGUGAAACAGGGGAAACUUUAAGAAAAAUCUGGUAUUGAUUGGCCAAACCUAAAAUUAUGAAAAUUUUAUGGAUGAAAUAUAUAUGAGUCUAUCUUCAGGUAAAAUUAACGACACUUUAUUUGGAGUUUCGUAGCUCCAGUUAUAAAUGAUUUAGUGACUGUUGCUCAGGAAGAGAGCUUGCAGUGAAAUUAUGAUUAUGUGGUAAACAUUGACAAAAAUUUGUUAAUGAGUUGCUUAUUGAUUUCUUAUAAGCUUACUAUGAUCAGUAGGUGUGAAAGUCGAAUAUAUAUAUGUAUAUAUUAUAUUUUGAAAGUAAUGCUCGAAUAGUCGAAUAAUGACUAGUUUAAAAUCUUUGAAUUUAAGCUCAAGAGCAUAGAGGGGCAAAAUUCGGAUAAGGGAAAAGAGAAAGUAAUCGAAUAGCCGUUGUAAUCGUUUGGAAACAUUCAAGGUAAGUUCUUAAGUGUUUAAGCUUGAUUCCUUUUUAUAUGCUUAAGAGUUAAAUUAAUAUGGAAAAGGGAAUGUAAAUUUUAUUUAGUUAAUGUGCCGAAUAUGUAAUGAUUUAAGGCUAUAAGUCGAUUAUGGCUAUUAUGCUUAAGUUGAAUUGGAUUUGGAAAUUUGAUGCACUAAAUGAGUGUUACAAUGAAUAAACUGUGCCGUUUAUGUGCUGGUGGAGAUAUCACAAUUUGUGAUUAUUAAAUACCUAAAGGAAACCAUGAUGUGUAUAAAAUUAUUAUUAUUAGUCCUUUGUGUUAGCCGAAUAUGGCUUGGCACUAAAGUGAUUAAAUGUGAACUUUGAUGAGGUAAACUAUUAAAAGUGUGGUGCUAUAAGACUAUGGGCAAAUACGAUAUGUGGAUUCGUUUCGUAAAGUAAAUUAUUAAGGUAUGUGAUAUCUACUUAUGCAUGUUAAAUCGAUUGGAAUUGAAUCAUGAAUGUGAAUUGCGAAGCAUAGGUAAAAAUGCCUAUGACAUAUAUGUGAGUAAGGGUAAAACCAUCGUAAAUUAUCAAUAAGGAUGGGCUAUGUACGGAACCAUCUUAUAAUUGCUAAUUUGAAAGGUUGUGUGUAAAUCAGUGAGCAAUAUGUAUAUAUUAGAUGAAUCGUGAUCUUUUGGUUCUAAUUGAAUUAAGUUGUGCGAUAAAUAAUUUAUGUAUAUGACUUAUAGUCGAAUGGUCACUAUGGGUUAAGUUUGAAUGGUGAAAUGGAUAUGUGAUAUUUAUGAAUGACUUUUGAACCUAAAUGUAAACGAUGGUGUUCAUAUGGAGCUUAUACCCGAAUGUUGCAAAUGACUACGAAUGUGAUAUGUUGAAUGAGAUGUAUUAAUAUAUGAUUAAAUAUGCAUGAUAUUUGAUGUGUAUUCGGGUUAAAUCCCGCAGGCUUCGUGCUGGUAUUAUAUCCGGGAUAAAUCCCGCAAGCCUAGUGCUGGUAUUAUAUUCGAGCCUUCGUGCCUAGCAGGCUUAGUGCCGGUGAUGUGUAUUCGGGCCUUCGUGCCUAGCAGGCUUAGUGCCGGUGAUGUGUAUUUAGGCCUUCGUGCCUAGCAGGCUUCGUACCGGUGAUGUGUAUUCUAGCCUUCGUGCCUAGCAGGCGUAAUGCCGGUGAAAUGAUAUGUUAUGUGAAUUCGGUGUUCCUUGUAAGAUAAGGGUUUAGCCGAAUGUUAAAGAUGAAAUGAUAGUGUAUUGUAUCAUGCUUAUAUGGCCUAAUGGCAAGUAUAACAUGUUGGUAAAAAUGCAAUAUGCUUUUAUAAUCGAAUGAUAAGUUUGAAAUGAACGAGAGUGAAGUGUUAUGCAUAAGCUAUCAAAUGCUAAGUGCGAAAAUGAGAUGAAAGAAAAGUGUUUGAGAUGUAUAAUUAUAUACGUUUGAAUGAUGUUAGUACUUAAUUGAUAUGAAUAUGUUAUAUGGAACUUGUUGACUUGAUUAUUCGGGCCUUUGAGCUUAGCAAACUAUAAUGCCGGUGAGAUACUAUUCGGGCCUUCGAGCCUAGCAGGCUAUAAUACCGGUGAACUGAUAUCGGGCCUCGAGCCUAACAGGCGAAAUACCGGUGAUUUGAGAAAAGUCCAUGACUAAGGUACCUCGUGUUAGGUUGACAAAUGAAUACAUUCAGUACGUUAAGUGGGCCAGGUACGCAUUAUGUACUCAUAUGUGAGUUUGAUCUGCAAUGAAUCAUAAGCGUGUAGUGUGAUACAUACGUGAAUAAAUGUUAUAACUAUAUCUAUGAUCAUGAUACACUGGGUCAGGGUGUGAAAGUAUGUGAAAGUAUUCGAUUUAAUUAUGUUAUACGAAUUCAGAUUAAGUGUGAUAAGAAUGCUGAACGUGCAUUUUAUGUUUGUGUGUAUUCGGCCAGAUGGCAAUAUACCUAGAAUAUGGCCACUUAAGAAAUUGAAUAAUCGAAGUAUAAUUGCAUUUAUUUGUUUGCAUUGCUUAAGACUUACUAAGCUUAUGAAAUCUUACUCUGUUGUUACAUUCCUCUGUUUUAUAGAUUGUUGACUUCAGUUACCUGCUCAGGUUGGAGUUCGCCGGAGAUAUUAUCACACUGUCGAGCUCAUGCUAUUGGUGUAAGUAAAUCCUAGUAUUUUGAGUCUAUGGCAUGUAUAGGGUUUUAAUGUUGAGUAUGUGAUAUUAUAAUUUAGCCAAAGGUGUUGGCUAGUGAUGUUUUGGGCCUCGUAAGCCCAUAUAUGGGACAGAUUGCAUGUGAAAAGAAAAGUUUUAAAUUGAUUGAAAUUUUUCGGCACUGUUUUUGUGUGAUUGACUGAGUUUAAGUCGGGCAACACCUCGAACCCUGUUCUGGUGAGGGAUACGGGCGAGGGGUGUUACAAAAUGUGACUAAGGUCCGAAGCUUUUUGGGUUUGGUCGGAUAAUAUAGGCGGUUUGUAAAUGGAUUUUCUAUGAUAGCUACUUCGAUGACGAGACUGCUGCAAAAAGAUGUCAAGUUCGAAUGGACAGAAAAGUACCAACCGAGUUUCGAGUAAUUAAAGGCUUUGUUGACCAAAGCCGCAGUGUAAGUACAACUGGAGUCGGGUAAGGAAUUUGUGAUAUAUAGUGACGCCUCCUUGAAUUUUUUGGGGUGCAUGCUUAUGCAAUAAGGCAAGGUUAUCGCCUAUGCCUCAGGACAGCUGAAACAACAUAAGAAAAAUUACCUGACACACAAUUUAGAGUUGGCCGCCAUCGUGUUCGCAUUGAAGAUUUGGAGGCACCAUUUGUAUGGCGAGAUAUGCCAAGUAUUCAUUGAUCACAAAAGUCUCAAGUAUUUAAUGACGUAGAAUGAAUUGAAUCUACAACAACGAAGGUGGUUAGAGCUAAUAAAGGAUUAUGAGCUGAUAAUUGACUAUCACUCGGCAAAGGCGAAUGUAGUCGCUGACGCUUUGAGUAGAAAUUCAUUGUUUGCCUUAAGAGCCAUAAAUCCUAAGUUGACGGUAUCUAAUGAUGGUUUAAUUCUAGCAGAGUUGGGAGCUAGACCGAUAUUUCUCCAAGAGGUCCGUGAAGCUCAGAAAGGAGUUGCAAGUGAAGAUGGCUCAAUGCGAGACGGGAAAAGAAUUUUAAUUUCGUAUUAGUACCGAGGGUGUAUAAUGUUCAGAGAUAGAGUUUGUGUACCCAAGAACAAUGAACUUAUUCAAGAGAUUUAGAGUUUGUGUACCCAAGAACAAUAAACUUAUUCAAGAGAUUCUGCGAGAGGCAAGUAGUAGUUGUUUGUCAGUCUACCCGGGCAAUGUAAAAAUGUACAACAACCUAAAGAAAAUGUACUGGUAGUCAAGGAUGAAAAGAUAUAUUUCAGAGUUUGUUUCCAAGUGUCUUGUAUGUCAGGAAGUGAAGGCUGAACACCAAGUACCUUCGGGUCUACUUCAGCCUAUACUGGUCCAUGAGUGGAAGUGGAAUCGGAUCACUAUGGAUUUUAUGAUGGGUUUGCCGAUAACCCCGAAGAAAAAUGAUGUUGUUUGGGUUGUUGUGGAUAGGUUAACAAAGUCAGCCCAUUUUAUACCAGUGCGUACCGACUACUCUCUUGAGAGAUUGGCUGAAUUGUACGUUUCCGAGAUUGUGAGACUACACGGGGUGCCCUUGUCGAUUGUUUCAGAUAGGGAUCAUAGAUUUACCUCGAGAUUUUGGAAAAAGUUACAAGAGGCUUUAAAAACAAAGUUGAGUUUUAGCACAACAUUUCACCUAUAAACAAACGGCCAGUUGAAAAUAGUGAUUCACAUUUUAGAAGACAUGUUACGGUGUUGUGUUCUUAAGUUUCAAGGCAGUUGGGAAAGGUACUUGCCGUUGGUUGAAUUCGCCUACAACAAUAGUUAUCAGACAAGUCUAAAAAUGGUGCCUUAUGAGGCUUUGUAUGGGCGAAAAUGUCAAACGCCCUUAUUUUGGACUGAGCUCAAAGAGAGUCAAAUUCAUGGGGUUGAUUUAAUCAAAGAGACUGAAGAAAAAGUUAAAGUGAUUCGUGACUGUUUAAAGGUCGAAUAGACAGAAAUCCUACGUGGAUUUGAAACGAAAGGAAAUUGAGUUUCAAGUCGACGAUAAGGUGUUUUUGAAAGUAUCUCCGUGGAGGAAAGUCCUCAGAUUUGGUAGAAGAGGCAAGUUGAGUCCUCGUUUCAUAGGACCUUAUGAGGUUAUCAAGAGAGUAUGACCUGUUGCCUAUCGAUUAGCUUUGCCACCAGAAUUGGAAAAGAUUUACAACGUAUUUCAUGUGUCCAUGCUACACUGAUAUAGAUCAGACCCUUCACACAUGAUUGCACUGACAAAGGUUGAGAUUUAUCCAGACAUGACUUAUGGCGAAGAACCAGUCAAGAUAUUGGCUCGGGAAGUCAAACAGUUAAGAAAUAAGAGUAUUGCACUCGUGAAAGUUUUGUGGCAUAGACAUGGAGUCGAGGAAGCCGCAUUGGAACCCGAGGAGACUAUGAGAGAUUAGUAUUCAAACUUAUUCACUAGUAAGAUUUUCGGGGACGAAAAUCCCUAAAUGGGGAGAAAUGUAAUAGUCUGAUUUAGGACCUAGUCAGAAUAGUGGUCUCGGGACCACAAAUCUAGAGUUGAAUAAAUUAUUUUAUAAUUUCUUAGAUGUUAUAGCAUGUUUUUAGGAGUGCAUGAAAAAUUUCGUGAGUUAAUUGUGAUGUUUGUAAGCCCGAUUAUGAAGGACUAAAUAACAUCAAAUGCAAAAGUCUUAUUUUGAUUUCUAAAAGUGACAAAUAGCUAGAGAACCUAAAUUGGGGGUCUUUAAAGGGCAAUUAGGCCCUUUAGGGAGGCAUGGCUGGCCAUAGGAGACAAGGGUAGUCAAAUUUUCAAAAUUUGGUAGGUUAGGUGGCUUAUUUUGACUAAAAUAGGAGAAAUUAAAAGAGAGACGAUAUCAUCCUUUUUUUCAUCUUCUUUUUCUACCGAAAAUUAGCCAUUGAAGGUGGUUUGACAGCUUAAAAAUUUCAGCAACUUUAAGCCUUCACAAGUAAGUGAUUUUCCAACCCUUUAUUGAAUAUUUUUGUACUUUUGAUACCCUUAAAGCAUGAGCUUUCAAAUGAGGGUACUAUUUUACAAAAUUAUUAAGAGUGUAGGGUUUUGUCAUAAAGGGGUUUGUAAUGCUUGCUAAGUUUUUAUGGAAGAAAAUAAGUCUUAGGUGUAUUAUGAACAAUUUUUGUGAAAGGUGUCAAUAUAAAAACACCUAAAAGGACUAUAUUGCAUAAGUUGUAAAAUAGAUGUUAAGUAUAUGAAAUAGUGGGAAUUUGGAGUUGCUAUAGAAGUAAAAAAGAUUCGAAUAGGCUUAAGAUGCGAAGAAAUUUGAUAAAAAUCGUUUUUUAGGCUUAAGGGUAAAAUGGUAAUUUUGUAAAAGUUUAGGGGUGAAUUGGUCAUUUUACCCAAUUAUGAAUUGUAGAGUGCCUAGAUUGAUAAAAUGACUAAAUAAGUGCAUUUUGUUAUUAUAGAUCAAUAAAUACCAAAUCCAAACCUAGACCGGAGGAAAGCCAAGCAAAGCGACUAAAUCGACUAGUCACCACAUUUUGUAAUCCGAAGCAAGUUGUAUGUAAAUAAUACAACUGCAUUGAUAAUAUAUGCGUUUGAAUUGCAUUGAAAUUAUUAUAGUAUGAAUUGCUUGAUUUUGGAAAUAAGAGAAUAUGAUGAGAAUAGAGAUAGUAGAAUUCCCGAAUGAACCUUAGGAAAUAAAUCGGAUAUUCAUGCCAUGACGUUUGGGUCACUUGCGUGAGAUAGUGUAAGACAUGUUUGGGACAUACAUCGGCCACAUUAUGAGAGCCAGUGUAAGACCAUGUCUGGGAUAUGGCAUUGGCAUUGAAACGAGUGCUAGUGUAAGACAUGUCUGGGACAUGCACCGGCUACGAGAUGUGUCAGUGUAAGACCAUGUCUGGGACAUGGCAUCGGCACAGAUAUGCUAGAGCUUGUGUAAGACCAUGUUUGGGACAUGGCAUUGACACCUGCACCCAUGUUUAAGGCUAAAUGAGUAUCCAAUAAUGUCCAAAAUGGUUCAACGGUGAAAGUAUGAUUUCAAGUUAAUAAGGAAAGUAUAACCGAGUUGUGAAUGGUACAGGUACCUAUAUGAUUUGUAUGAAAUGUGAGAUCAAUAUAUGCUAUAUGAGGUGUAUUGAAUAUUGAUGAGUAAGUUUUGCUUAUGCCACUUGUGUAUUAUGAUGCUUGUUGAUGGUUAAAAAAGUUAUGUUGUAUAUUUAUUUAGGUGCAACUUACUAAGCUUUAUACUUACUCCAUCUCUUCUUUCAUUUUCUUAUAGUACUGCCUAUCUAGUUCAAGGACCAAAGGAAGUCAGAAAUAUCGAUCACACUAUCAAUCGAAGUUUUCGGUAUAGUUUGAUUUAUAUUUUUGAAUAUGGCAUGUAUAGGGCUUAGACUUUACUAAUUUUUGUGUCAUUAAGAACUAGCCAAAUGUGUUGGCUUGGGUUGGAAACCCUUCAUUUUGUAUUAAAACUUGAAUGAUAGUUAUUAUUCAUUUUGAUUUAUAUGCAAAUAUGUUAUUUUCAUGGAUGAGUAAAAUGCACAAAUGGAAUGUUAUUUAUUGUGGCUGAUUUGGUUGUAUGAGAUAACCUUAUAUUGAUUUUGGUUGCCAUUAAGCAGGUUGUGUAAAUAAGGGUGGCUAAAAGGCUUGGUAAAUAGCAUUAUAUUAUCCACACGGGUGUGUGUCUAGGCCGUGUGUGACACGCGGUCUGCCUUAUGGACUUGUGGUUCGGCCGUGUGUCCCUUGCACAUAAAAAUUUCAAGUCAGUAUGCAUGAUAGUAAGCACACGGGUAGAGACACGACCGUGUGGGGAACACGGCCUAGCACAUGGGCGUGUGCCUUGGCCGUGUGACAUUUUGGGGAUGCUGACAUCAGAAAUAGAAUGUCCAUGUUUUUGCACACCGGCUAGGACAUGGGCGUGUCAUGGCCGUGUGAAGGACACGGGCCAGGGACACAGGCGUGUGCCAGGCCAUGUGAAAACCUCUAUAGGUGUGCAUUUAGAAUUAAUGGCUACACGGGCAUGUGCCUUGUUCCAGAGCCAAAUUUUCUAUAGAUGGUUUAAGGACCCGGGUUGAUCCCGAAUAGUUUUCAAUGGUUGAUUUGGGGCUCGUAGGCCCAUAAUAAGAAGUUUAAAGUAGAAAUUGAAAAGUUCUUAAGUAGACCAAUUCUUGACGACUUGGGGAAUGUUUAUGUACAUGAGAUCGAAUUAGGUAAUGCCUCGUAUUCUGCUCCGACAUGGGUUAAGUAGACAAUACACACGUUAGCAAACAUAUAACUAAUUAUAAAUAAACACAUGAAAUAAAAUAUAAAAAGAACUAUUUAUAAUUAAUUUAUCAAAUACGAAAAUUAAAUAAAACCAUAACAAAAGAAGAAAUUGAAAUAAACAAGAAUCGAGAUUUUACAAAACAUUGAGGCCUAUGAAAGACAAUUUCCUUAAAACAGAUUCAGUCGCUCCUCCGGUACUUGAAAAAACAUUGGUUGAAUGUUUCUCAGGAUACAACAACAACAGUGAUCAAAGUAGUAGCACCUCUACAACAAUCAACGAACGAACUUUGCUUUUUUCUAUCACUGGAACGUUUGAAAAAAAUACGGAGAGGAAAAGGAAGAGUUUUGAGAGUAAAAGAGUCUCAGUGUGAGAGAGUAUGAAUGUGUAAAAUUGUACAGAGUACACAGCCUUUUAUAGGCAUUUAAGAUGGUGGAAAAUUUGGAAAUAACCAAAAAAAUCUGCCAUUAAAGAGCCAAAAGAUCAAUUUGAUUUAAAAAUUAAAUCAAAUCAGAUAGUGCCCAUAUAUAAGCAGAUUAUGUCUACUGAGGAAAAUAAAUUCGAGUUGGGCUUAAAAUAUCUGUAGGUUGAUUUGGGCUCAAUUAGUCCAAACAUUUCGUGUCACCCACGUCAUGCAAAUGCGCCUCAACCUCGUCAGGUUUGGGCCUACACCCACUUGAGCGCGAAGCAAGGUUAUAAGCUUAGUCAUUCAAUUAUUUUUUAAGAGGGUUUACAUAUAUAAACUUGUCUCACACUUUGGUAUUUAACCAAUGUGGGAUCUAAGCCUUCAUUUUUUCUCAAAAAUAUUUUCAAGUAGCUUACUUUGAGCAUCAAUUUCUCAUUCAUCACUUAACCAUUUUGAGCAUAUGAUAUACCAUAGUAAAGGUUUCAUGGAUUAGAAUAAGAAACCAUAAUUUUAUGAUUCUACUCUCUAUCUUUACCUAUUGAGAAUAUGCCUCAAAUUUUCCAUAAAAAUGUAAUUUUUCCAACAACCUUGUUUGCUCAAAAGAUCCACUAAUGUGCAUUGAGAGCAUUCCCCUAAUGUGGGCUAUUCCCUUACCAUAAAGGUUUUGGUUUAGAUUGCAAAUGAUUUAUAGAUCAAUGAAAAGGGCAUAUGUAAGUCGAUAAUGAUGAAUAGUGAAUCAAUGAGGUGAGGACUUUUUCAAUGAUAGGGCUAUGUAUGAAAUGAGAUUAGUUAAGGUUUGGUAGUAAGAGAAUGGUGAAGAUAAUAAAGUUGUGGGAUAUAUGAGUUUUGGAAUAAUUCAUUGUUAGCAUACAUUUCUUUUCACUUUUCUUAUGGUAAAUAAAAAAUACGAAGUAGAGAAGAAGGAGAUUAAGUUGGACAAGACGAAUUAGGUGGCGCUUAUGUAGCAAAUUUAACAUUCCACAUCACCUUUCCAUUAAAGGUGUAAUACUUGUUAACGAAUAAGUGACCAUGUAUAACCUAAUAAUGCUAGUGACCAAAGCAUAACAUUUCAUAAUUAAGUGGCAAAAAAAAACUCUAAUGAUUGAGUGACCUAACCUAAAAUAUUUGACAAAAAAAAAGCUACAAUAAAUAUCUAAAUUUAUAGGUUUAUAUCAAGAUUUAAUCUCUAAAUUAUACUUGUUUCCCACUUUUGUACCUAAAGUUUUUUUUUUUUUGUCCCUUUUUGGUAUUUAAACAACUAUUUUCUAACAGUUUUGUGUUAAAAAAGUUAAAGGUGUUUAAAAAAGGUGAUACAUCUAAUAAACGAGACCAUGCCAUGUGUUUAACUUUUUCCUAUAUAAUUAAUGACAUGGCCAUUACCUGAUGUUGUGGUUGUUGGUCAUUAACUGAUUGUUUACCAAUGUUGAUUGGCAUUGAUCGACAUUGAUCGCUUACCGAUUUAAUAUGUUUCUUAAAAAUGGAAUUUUUAGAAUUUUACAUUUUUUUUCUUUUUGAAUUAUUUUUAUUUUAUAUAAUUUAUAUUAUAAAAAUAUUUUUAAAUUUCAAUAAAUUUUUAAUUUAAUAUUUUUAUAUUUUAUAUAAAAUUUUUAGGAUUAUAUAUUAUAAAUAAUUUUGAAUAUAAUAAAUUUUUUAUAAUUUUAUAUAUUUUUUAAAGUUUCACUAUCACAAAUAUAGCAUAAGUUAUAUGUCGAGCUAUUACAAAGAAAAAUCAAACCACUAUUGAAUUAAAAAAAAGAUUUAAACUAUUACAAAGCAUAACAAACGAAGAAUAGGAAAAAAAAAGAAGACAAAAACUCAUCCAUAGCAUACACAUACAUACAUGUUGCAAGUAAAUAGCACACAUGGUAAUUACAAAUGGUAGCACGUGUGCCUAGAUACUCAAAGACAUCUUCUUAAUCAAAAACACCAAAACUUGACUGUUAAUUUUAUAUAUUUUUUAGAUAUUAUAUAUUUUAAAAUCUUUUAAUAGAUGCUAUGUCAUCAAUUACCAUAUGGCAUAUUCUAAUUAGUUAGGUGUAUUACCUAUUUUUUAUAAUAAUAUUAAGUUUUUGAAUGAAAAACUUCAAGGAAAUAAUAAUUUAAAUACUAAAAUGAAAAAAAAAGGUUUUGAUACCAUAAUUAAAAAAAUAUAUAUAAUUCAAAGGCUAAAGGCCGAAUUUAUAUAAUUAACUGCAAAUCCAUUUGACCACUUCUAGAAGCCAUUUACUUAUUCUAGAAAUUCACAUAUAAAUCGUGCUAACUAUAAUAUUUUUUAUUAUUAAUGUUUGUUUUUCCUUUUACAUAAACUUUCCUGGAAAGCAAAUAUAAUAACGCAAAUAAAUAAAUAUAUUUCUAAGUGACGCGAUAUUACAUUAUACAACACCAAUCAUACAUAUUUUAUAUAAUCAACAAAUGAUGACAUUGAAUUUUUAAAACAAAAUUUAAAUUUAAAUUUUGCAGACCAUAUUAUUAAGAAAUACAAUUACAAACCUUAAGUAAGUAUCGUAAAACGGACAUUAAAAAUAUAAAAUAAAUACAACAACAUAUAUGAAAAUUUUGAAUUUUGGAAUAAUUCUUUAAAUUUCAAAAUGUUUUAUUUUUUUAAUUAUAUUUUUUAAUUAAGUUUUAACUAUGAUUUCAUUGCAAUUAAUAUAAUAAAAUUUUAAACAAAAAAUUUAAAAUUAAGAUUUCUACACAAAUCAUAAAAUAAUAUAAUUGCAGGCAAUAAUGAAAUAUAAUAAUAUUUUUUAAUUAUUAUAUAAACAUCGUUUAAAUAUAAAGAUUUAUAUAUAUAAACCUUUAAAAAUCUAAUCAUUAAGUUUAAAAUUUUAUGGAUAUAUUAUAUUCAAAAUAUUACAAAACAUACUAUAUUUCAAAAUAAUUUAUAUAAAUAGUAAACAUGUGCUUGGUAUGGGUAAAGAAAAUCCUUAAAAAAUAUAUAAAACAAUAAAAAUAUUAUAUUAUAUUAUAUUGUAUUAAUUUAUGUAAAUGUUUUUUGGGGUAUCAAAUUUAUAGAAAUGUUAAGGUUUGAGAAAGGCAAUUUGGCUUGCGUGUUUCUUCUUUAAUAUAUAAUCUAAAAUUUUGGGUUGAACUUUCGUACAGACGAGUUUUUUGACAUCGAAUUGAAAGCAACGUGGAGCUUUUAUUAUUAUUAGUUUUUAAUGGUACGUAACUUUACUACUUUAAUCUUUUGUAAAUUAAUAUAUAUAUAACAUAUUUAAUGUAACUAAUAUUUAAAAUAAAUAAUAUUUAGAAAUAAAAAAUUAAAAAUAAUAUAAAAUUAAGUAUGAAAGAUAUUUACAUUAAAUUAAUAAACACAUUUAAUAAUAGUGAUUAAAAUUAAUUACCAAUAUCUUAUAUGGUAAUUCUUUUUACUUUUUAAAAAAUCUCUUUCAUCCGUUUACGAUGUCAAGUAUAAUAAUAAUAAGGUAAUUUCUUUUUUUAAAAAAAGUACUUGCUUUGCAUGGAAUAUGCAACUUAUAAAAAAAUAAAUUAAAAUGAUUUUACAUACAUGUGUUAUUGUCGUUCGAAAUUUUUUAUUUUUAAGAUACUUAUGCUACUAAUGAAUGCUAUUUAUAGAUUUAAAUUUUAAGGGAUAAAUCCCGAAAUUAUAUAUAAACUAUAAUUUAAUGUGCAAUCGUAUAAUGAAUUUUGAUUUUCUGUAAUUUUAUACAUUAAAUUUUGAUUUGAUCCAAUUCUUGUAAAUUAUUAAUAAAAAUUAUUGAUAUAACAUCAUUUUAUGUUUAUAUAUUGCAUACAUAAAUAAUUAUAUUUACCUAAUAUAAAAAUAAAUUGAUGUAUUUAUUUCUUGAAAUGUGUAUAUUAAAUCAAAAUUAUUUCAAGUAUACAUUUGAACCACAAUUAGAGUUUCACAUGUAUAAUUGCACAAAAUUAAGGUUCAUGUAUACAAUUGCAUAUUAAAUCAAUGUUCAUGUAUAAUUCUGAGAUUUAUCCCAAAUUUUAAUUUUAAUUGAUAUACUCCAACACUAAUUAAGUGAUAAUUAAAAGAUAAAAUCAAUCUCUAUUUAUAUACUUAGACUUCUAUUCAAGUUAUAAUUUUAUGUUAUAACAAAGGGGCUUUUUCUUACAAUUUUUUAAAUAAAAUGAAAUUCAAAAUGAAAUUAAAGAAAGAUAAGUUUUUGGCCCGCCUAUAAUCUAUAAUAUAGAAAAAAUUCGCUAAAUUUAUCGUACAAACUUUUCAUUGAUCUAUUUUUUUUCAUUGGGACUCAAUCCAAAUCACGAUGUCAUUUUCUUGUUCCUAAAUGGGUUUCAUCAAUUUUUUACUCAAUUCUUCUAGGUUUAUGCUCUACUCCGAGUAAAGAUCCGCUCGAUUUUGGUUUGCGCAUAUAGGACAAAUGACCCAAUACCACAUAUUUAACUAUGAUUUCGUUUCUUUUUUUUAUUUUAAUUUAAUUCCUUUUUAAACUUAUUUUUAAAUAGAGUUAUAACUAAUAAUUCUAAAUUAAAUUAUAAGUAUUUUAAAUGUGAAUUUAGUAAUACGAUAAAAAAUAAAGAAUAUUCUUGUUAGUUCAAAAGUUUUUUCAAACUCAUACUUUUAUACAUGUUAUAGAUAUGAUGUUUGAUAGUUUUAUUAUCAUUUGAUUUAUGCUUAUUUGUAUAAGUUUUAAUUUUUUUUAACCACUAACUUCUAAUGCCACGUGUGUUGCACAUGAUUUUAAAUAUUUUUUAGUUCAUUAAAUAAUAUAUUUUUAUAAUAUCAAAUAUAUAUUUGAGCUAAGUAAAUGAGGAUUAAUUUAAUUUAUACUAAAUGCCAAAUAGUUUUGAAAAAUAAGUGAGAAAAUAAAUUAAUGUUUUAAAAUUUAUGAAAAAAAAAUUGAAUUAACAUAUAAAACUAUUAAAACAAAAUACAAAUCAUAUAUACUAUAGCAAUACAAGGUUAAAAAAAAUAAUGUUCACAUUACUGUUUUUUUGACACAUGACACAUGACACUCUAUAUUUGAUGCACUUAUUUGCAAUUUAGGUAAAUUACUCUUUUACUCCUUACAUUUUAACUUUUAUUUCAUGGCUUUUGUUUAAUUUUUUUAAUAUUUUAUUUAAUUGAAUUAAAAUUAAUGUUAUAAUAUUAAAAUUAAUGAAUAAUAAAUUGUUAAGCUUAAAAUAUAGUUAAAAAAAAGACAUACAUAUUAAUAACAUUUAUCAAAUUAAAUUUAUAUUUUUCAAAUAUAAUAAGAGCUAUUAUUUUAAUUGAUUAAAUUAGAGUAAAGAUAAAUAUAAAUUUUUAAAAACAUAAUAUUAAAAAUUUUAAUAUUAAAAUAAAUAUAUAAAAUAAAUAAUUUGUAAGAAAUUAAUUAUAAUGCUAUUUAAAUUAUAUUAUAUUAAUAUUAGUAUUCCAUGAUUAUUUUUUGUAUUAUUUUAAUAUUAAAUAUUUUUAAAAUUAAAUAACGUUAACAUAAUCUAUUCUAAAUUAGUUAAAUAGUUUUUAAAAAUAUUUUAUAAUUACAUUAAAUUUCAGUUUAUUGAUUUUUUUAAGAAGUUCAUUAAAAAUUAUAAAAAAACUAAUAUUAUAAAAAUAUUAUAAAUUUAAUAUACACAACUAACCAAUACAAAUUAGUUGAAAAAGUAAAUACAAAAAAUAUUUAUACUAAAUUAAUGAUCACAUUUAAUAAUAUAUUUUUUUAAAAUUUGACUUUAUUUUCAAAACAAAUCCAAAAAGACUUUUCACUUGCACCAAAUAAAAAAUUGAUAAAUAAAAAACACAUUUAAGAUUAUUUGUUUUGCACAUUAUAAACAACUUACAUUUGAACUUACCAGGUAAAAUUAGUGACAAUUGAAGUGUCAAGGACUAAUCGGCAGUUUUCUCCUUUCUUUGAUUAUCUAUCUUGAUUUAUACCGUAAUUCAUUUCAAAUUAUCAACCUCAAUUACUUGAUAACAACCCAUUCUUUGCAUAUGACAAUUUAAUUUCAUUUUUAUAAUUUCACUAAAGUUUUACAUUUUAUUUAAUUUAGUUCCUAAAACUAAAAUAACAAUAACUUUUACAUUUGAGCUUCGUUUUACAAACCUAUUUCAAUUUCAUCCUUCUAAGACUCUCUACAGUCCAUAAUUAUAGAAAUUUCAUAUCAAUUUUGUAAUAUUUUCAUUUUAGUCUCUAUACUCAUAACUAACAAAUUUCACUUUGAAAUUUAGUCAUUAAUCAUAUCUAAGCUUACAAUCAAAUCAUUUAAUAUCAAAAGCUUCAAGAACCAUAAUAUUUCAAAAACUUUAGCAAUUUUACGAUUCAAUACCUAAAUUAACUAAAUCAAAUUUUCAAAACCUCAAAAACAUAAAAUUUACCAAAAACGUAACUCAAAAUUACUUACAUGCAUAAGUCGAAUGCUUGGAAUAUUUGAAGCUUUUUCCUCCCUCUUCAAUGGUGAUGAAACGGUGGAAGAAGAUAAGAAGGAAGAAAAUUCUCUUUCUUUCCACUUUUGUUUCUUUUGUUUAUUAUUAUUAAUUCUUA